AACGAACGCUGGCGGCAGGCUUAACACAUGCAAGUCGAACGCCCCGCAAGGGGAGUGGCAGACGGGUGAGUAACGCGUGGGAACAUACCCUUUCCUGCGGAAUAGCUCUGGGAAACUGGAAUUAAUACCGCAUACGCCCUACGGGGGAAAGAUUUAUCGGGGAAGGAUUGGCCCGCGUUGGAUUAGCUAGUUGGUGGGGUAAAGGCCUACCAAGGCGACGAUCCAUAGCCGGUCUGAGAGGAUGAUCAGCCACAUUGGGACUGAGACACGGCCCAAACUCCUACGGGAGGCAGCAGUGGGGAAUAUUGGACAAUGGGCGCAAGCCUGAUCCAGCCAUGCCGCGUGAGUGAUGGAGGCCUUAGGGUUGUAAAGCUCUUUCACCGAUGAAGAUAAUGACGGUAGUCGGAGAAGAAGCCCCGGCUAACUUCGUGCCAGCCGCCGCCGUAA
rnacentral:rRNA from 1 species